UAAGUAGUAUUACAUAUUUCUUUUCUGAGCAACAAGUAGUAUUACAUACAUAAGAUAUUUGUAUAACAUUUUCACCCUGUUGCGGGUCAUUAUCUAGUUAGUGUACUGAACAAGAGAUAUCUCCGCGGGUCAAACAAGGUGGGACUACGGAUACUUACUCAAAUUAUCAGCCCUACAUGCAAACCAAAUGAGCCAAAAUCAGAACCUAAAACCAGAGUAGACAACUUGAAAAUGUGCGUACAAUUUAAGGAUAAUUUUUACUAUAUUUUGAAAAUAAGGAAGCUAGAUUUCACUAUAUUACUUUUUAACAUAUGCUAUGAAAAUUCAAAAUGAUUAUCUUGGCAUGUAAGGCCCAUAAUGUUCGUUAGCCCACUUACAUUCUUAUCGUAGGAAGUUUUCCCGCCAAGUAGCGUAGGUUUCCUAACUGCAGUAAUUACAGAGAAUCAAUCAUAUAAUUCUUUUUGAGAAAGAAUCAGUCAUAUAAUUCUUUUUGAGGGUAAAAUCAAUUAUCAAUCAUAUAAAUAGAUCUCAUAUAAUUGACAUGUACAGAAUAUGGUAAUAACAAUUUUCUUGACAGCUCAUAUGACUUUCAAGUCACUGCAUGUGAUUAAAUUAAGAUUUGAACAAUAUAUUUUCUUUAACCAAAUUUAGAAAAUAACUUAAUUGGUCAAAUAUAUAUAAUAAAUAUCAUUAAUUUGCAUGUAUCGAUAUGGAAGAUCAAUUAAAAUAAAAUAAAAUAGAAAUGGAAAUUUGUGAUUUUCCAAGACUAAAAGUUAUAUAAAUAGAGCUUUUCUACAAGACAUGAAAAGUCAAAGAUAUUUCUCUUGCUAUAUAUUUUAUACAGGAGAAAAAUAUGGCAAACACACAAAAUUUGGUGGUUUUUUUUCUUGUUGUGAUAUUAUCAGCUUCAAUGUUUAACACCAACAUUUUGGUUUCAGGUGGGAAGCACGAGGAUAAAAUCAAGUAUACUUACUGCACUGACACUUUAUGCUCGGACAGCUACUUACCUCAUAUGUGCUUUUUUGAUUGUACUAGUAAAAAGUUUCAAACCGGAACUUGUAUAGUUCCUUCUCCUAAUGCUCCCUUAAGAUGUUGUUGUGGUAACUUGUAGCCAUCAUCUACUUAAUAUAAUAAAAUGGUUUAAGAGCUUCA